UGUGUAAGAGGUGAAAGCUCACGGCUCAACCGUGGAACUGCCUUUGAAAACGCGUAGCUUGAGUCCGAGAGAGGAUGGUGGAAUUCCUGGUGUAACGGUGAAAUGUGCAGAUAUCAGGAAGAACACCGGUGGCGAAGGCGGCCAUCUGGCUCGGUACUGACGCUGAGGCACGAAAGCUAGGGUAUCGAACGGGAUUAGAUACCCCGGUAGUCCUAGCCGUAAACGAUGUCCACUAGGUGUCGGGGGUCCUACCCCUUCGGUGCCGGGACUAACGCAUUAAGUGGACCACCUGGGGAGUACGCUCGCAAGGGUGAAACUCAAAGGAAUCGACGGGGGCCCGCACAAGCGGUGGAGCAUGUGGCUUAAUUCGAUGCAACGCGAAGAACCUUACCUGGGCUUGACAUGCAGGGGACAGGUGUAGAGAUAUACCCUUCUUCGGACUCCUGUACAGGUGCUGCAUGGCUGUCGUCAGCUCGUGUCGUGAAAUGUUGGGUUAAGUCCCGCAACGAGCGCAACCCUUGUCCUUAGUUGCCAGCACGUCAUGGUGGGAACUCUAGGGAGACUGCCGGUGACAAACCGGAGGAAGGUGGGGACGACGUCAAGUCAUCAUGGCCCUUACGUCCAGGGCUACACACGUGCUACAAUGCAUCAUACAGAGGGCAGCGAACCCGCGAGGGGAAGCCAAUCCCAAAAAGUGUGCCUCAGUUCGGAUUGGAGUCUGG
rnacentral:rRNA from 1 species